rnacentral:rRNA from 1 species
AAAUGCAAGUCGAGCGGUAACAGGAAUUAGCUUGCUAAUUUGCUGACGAGCGGCGGACGGGUGAGUAAUGCCUGGGAAUAUGCCUUGAUGUGGGGGAUAACUAUUGGAAACGAUAGCUAAUACCGCAUAAUGCCUACGGGCCAAAGAGGGGGAUCUUCGGACCUCUCGCGUCAAGAUUAGCCCAGGUGGGAUUAGCUAGUUGGUGGGGUAAUGGCUCACCAAGGCGACGAUCCCUAGCUGGUUUGAGAGGAUGAUCAGCCACACUGGAACUGAGACACGGUCCAGACUCCUACGGGAGGCAGCAGUGGGGAAUAUUGCACAAUGGGGGAAACCCUGAUGCAGCC